AUUAUAUUCCCUCCGUCCGGAAAUACUUGUCAUCAAAAUGGAUAAAAGAGGAUGCAUCUAGACAUAUUUUAGUUCUAGAUACAUUUUUAAUCCAUUUUGAUGACAAGUAUUUUCGGACGGAGGGAGUAUACG
rnacentral:pre_miRNA from 1 species